rnacentral:rRNA from 1 species
CCUACGAGUGGCAGCAGUGGGGAAUAUUGGGCAAUGGGCGCAAGCCUGACCCAGCAACGCCACGUGAAGGAAGAAGGCUUUCGGGUUGUAAACUUCUUUUCUCAGGGACGAAGCAAGUGACGGUACCUGAGGAAUAAGCCACGGCUAACUACGGGCCAGCAGCCGCGGUAAUACGUAGGUGGCAAGCGUUAUCCGGAUUUACUGGGUGUAAGGGGCGUGUAGGCGGGAAAGCAAGUCAGAUGUGAAAACCAUGGGCUCAACCUGUGGCCUGCAUUUGAAACUGUUUUUCUUGAGUACUGGAGAGGCAGACGGAAUUCCUAGUGUAGCGGUGAAAUGCGUAGAUAUUAGGAGGAACACCAGUGGCGAAGGCGGUCUGCUGGACAGCAACUGACGCUGAGGCGCGAAAGCGUGGGGAGCAAACAGGAUUAGAUACCCUUGUAGUC